UCAGCCAAAUCUUAGCAGAUAUACAGUGGCAUCUGUCAUAAUGACUUUUCGACAGGAAAACAGGAUUGAGGGUCGGGAACGACAAGGAGGAAGGGGGCCCAUAUUCACGCAAGAACAAGAGAGAGAGAUAAUAAACAUGGUUUUGGCCAAUAAUGCCAUCAGGCUCAGAGAACUACAAGCCAACAUUAUCGGUGACCAUGCCAUUUUCAAUAAUGUCCAUCAGGUCUCAGUCAACACUGGCACGCAUCCUGAAAAGACAUCAGGUUCAAAUGAAACAACUUUAUCGAGUGCCUUUUGAGCGGAAUUCAGAGAGGGUCAAAUGGCUGCGGCAUGAGUAUGUGGAGGGAGUUUUGCAGAUGGAUGCUGAGGAAAUCCUGCAUGAAUUCAUAUAUAUUGAUGAGGCAGGGUUCAACCUCACAAAAGCAAGAAGGAGAGGCAGAAAUAUCAUUGGCCACAGGGCUAUAAUCAAUGUCCCAGGGCAACGUGGGGGUAACAUCACCCUUUGCGCUGCCAUUUCACAGCAUGGGGUUCUCCUCCGUCAUGCCAAAAUGGGCCCUUACAACACACCUCACAUUCUCGCA